rnacentral:rRNA from 1 species
AACGAACGCUGGCGGCAUGCCUAACACAUGCAAGUCGAACGAGACCGUCGGGUCUAGUGGCGCACGGGUGCGUAACGCGGGGGAACCUGCCCGUAGGUUCGGAAUAACUCCCCGAAAGGGGUGCUAAUACCGGAUAAUGUCUUCGGACCAAAGAUUUAUCGCCCUUGGGUGGGCCGGCGUUGGAUUAGCUAGUGGGUAGGGUAAAAGCCUACCACGGCGACGGUGCAUAGCUGGUCUGAGAGGAUGAUCAGCCACACUGGGACUGAGACACGGCCCAGCCUCGUGCGGGAGGCAGCAGUGGGGAAUAUUGGACUGUGGGCGAGCGCCUGAUCCAGCGAUGCCGCGUGAGUGAUGAAGGCCUUAGGGUUGUAAAGCUCCCUUAACCGGGAUGAUAAUGACGGUACCGGGAGAAUAAGCUCCGGCUAACUCCGUG